UACAGAGGUCUCAAGCGUUGUUCGGAUUCAUUGGGCGUAAAGGGUGCGUAGGUGGCGUGGUAAGUCGGGUGUGAAAUUUCGGAGCUUAACUCCGAAACUGCAUUCGAUACUGCUGUGCUUGAGGACUGGAGAGGAGACUGGAAUUUACGGUGUAGCAGUGAAAUGCGUAGAGAUCGUAAGGAAGACCAGUGGCGAAGGCGGGUCUCUGGGCCGUAACUGACGCUGAGGAGCGAAAGCGUGGGUAGCGAACAGG
rnacentral:rRNA from 1 species